UGCCCAGUGGAGAGGGGCCCCCAGUGCCCAGAGGCCCUCCCCAGUGGCUCACAGCCCUGACCCCUCAAGGCGUCAGGGCGGGGCAUUUCCUGGAGCCGGGGUAGGGCGGACUGAAACCUCAGGCCCUCGCUGGAAGCUGUGCCUUACCCUCCCACCAGCUUCCUGUCCAGCCUGUGCCCGCACCAGAUCCGCCUGCCUGGGGGAUGAGGGACCAGCUCCUGGGGCGUCUCAUACUGAGGCUCUUCACCAGGCACGAGAUGGAUGGGCUGCCCCCCACCGCUGUCCGCUGCUCAGUGUCCCUGCCAGGCCACCCCAGGGCCACUGAUGAUUUCACGGCGAGGUGUGCCUGAUGGCUAGGGCUGCAGAGGCAUCGCAUGCUUGCAGCUGGAGCUGGCCACGCUCACCACAAAGAAGGGCCUCACCGACCGCAUUUCAGAGGUCUCUAUGUGAUCUUCCUGCAGAGUUUCCCUUCCACAGCUUAGAGCACUCUCCUAGGGUUUCUUCACAACCUUCUCCUCCUUCAGAAAAGUUGCCGCACACUGAAAUUCCUAAUCACAUUUUCCCCAGUGACUCCUAUUGUUAUGGAAAAAGCCCCACCUGCCUGGCUGGGAAUCUUCGAAGACAAAGGUGAUCAGUCUUCCUACAGAAAUGUCACUGGACUGUUCACUCUGGGGGCCAGAACCCCUCACCCUCACUCCCAACUUCCCAGUCUACAUGCUCCUUCCUCUGGUGGAAGGAAAACCCUUUCUAUUGCCCCCCACCCCACCUCCACAAUAAUUUUCUCCUCAUGUCUGGCUAAUUAAAUUGAUCACAGGUGAGUGUGGA